rnacentral:rRNA from 1 species
AUACCCCAUAAUAUUUAGAAUGGCAUCAUUUUAAAUUGAAAACUCCGGUGGAUAGAGAUGGGCACGCGCAAGAUUAGAUAGUUGGUGAGGUAACGGCUCACCAAGUCUGCGAUCUUUAGGGGGCCUGAGAGGGUGAUCCUCCACACUGGUACUGAGACACGGACCAGACUCCUACGGGAGGCAGCAGUGAGGAAUAUUGGACAAUGGGUGCGAGCCUGAUCCAGCCAUCCCGCGUGAAGGACGACUGCCCUAUGGGUUGUAAACUUCUUUUGUAUAGGGAUAAACCUACCCUCGUGAGGGUAGCUGAAGGUACUAUACGAAUAAGCACCGGCUAACUCCGUGCCAGCAGCCGCGGUAAUACGGAGGGUGCAAGCGUUAUCCGGAUUUAUUGGGUUUAAAGGGUCCGUAGGCGGAUCUGUAAGUCAGUGGUGAAAUCUCACAGCUUAACUGUGAAACUGCCAUUGAUACUGCAGGUCUUGAGUGUUGUUGAAGUAGCUGGAAUAAGUAGUGUAGCGGUGAAAUGCAUAGAUAUUACUUAGAACACCAAUUGCGAAGGCAGGUUACUAAGCAACAACUGACGCUGAUGGACGAAAGCGUGGGGAGCGAACAGGAUUAGAUACCCUGGUAGUCCACGCCGUAAACGAUGCUAACUCGUUUUUGGGAUGUAAGUUUCAGAGACUAAGCGAAAGUGAUAAGUUAGCCACCUGGGGAGUACGUUCGCAAGAAUGAAACUCAAAGGAAUUGACGGGGGCCCGCACAAGCGGUGGAUUAUGUGGUU